CCAAUAGCGUAUAUUAAAGUUGUUGCAGUUAAAAAGCUCGUAGUUGAAUUUCGGGAUUGGCGCAUCGGUCGUGCCUCACGGGGUAUGAACUGGUGCAGUCAAUUUCUCACCUUCUGGAGAACCGCGAUGUCCUUAAUUUGAUGCCGCGGGGAACCAGGACCUUUACUUUGAAAAAAUUAGAGUGUUUAAAGCAUGCAUUUUUGCUUGAAUACAUUAGCAUGGAAUAAUAAAAUAGGACGGCAUGGUUCUAUUUUGUUGGUUUCUAGGACCACCGUAAUGAUUAAUAGGGAUAGUUGGGGGCAUUAGUAUUCAAUUGUCAGAGGUGAAAUUCUUGGAUUUAUUGAAGACUAACUACUGCGAAAGCAUUUGCCAAGGAUGUUUUCAUUAAUCAAGAACGAAAGUUAGGGGAUCGAAGACGAUCAGAUACCGUCGUAGUCUUAACCAUAAACUAUGCCGACUAGGAAUCAGACGAUGUUAAUUUUUUAAUGACUCGUUUGGCACCUUACG
rnacentral:rRNA from 1 species